rnacentral:lncRNA from 1 species
AGUAAACAUUUACUAAAAAUGGAAAUAAACAUCACAACA